GCUGGUAUGGCGGAAUAGGCAGACGCAACAGACUUAAAAUCUGUCGAACACUAGUUCGUGCCGGUUCAAGUCCGGCUACCAGCA
rnacentral:tRNA from 1 species